rnacentral:rRNA from 1 species
UACGGGGGGGGCAAGCGUUGUUCGGAAUUACUGGGCGUAAAGGGCCAGUAGGCGGCCAACUAAGUCGGAUGUGAAAUCCCCAGGCUUAACCUGGGAACUGCAUCCGAUACUGGAUGGCUUGAAUUCGGGAGAGGGAUGCAGAAUUCCAGGUGUAGCGGUGAAAUGCGUAGAUAUCUGGAGGAAUACCGAUGGCGAAAGCAGCGCGCUGGACCUCUUCUGACGCUGAGGCGCGAAAGCCAGGGGAGCGAACGGG